GACGAACGCUGGCGGCGUGCUUAACACAUGCAAGUCGAACGGAAAGGCCCUGCUUUUGUGGGGUGCUCGAGUGGCGAACGGGUGAGUAACACGUGAGUAACCUGCUCUUGUCUUUGGGAUAACUUCAGGAAACUGGGGCUAAUACCGUAUAGGAGCCCCCGUUGCAUGGAGGGGGUUGGAACGUUUCGGCGGUCGGGGAUGGACUCGCGGCUUAUCAGCUUGUUGGUGGGGUAGUGGCUUACCAAGGCUGUGACGGGUAGCCGGCCUGAGAGGGUGACCGGCCACAUUGGGACUGAGGUACGGCCCAGACUCCUACGGGAGGCAGCAGUGGGGAAUAUUGCACAAUGGGCGGAAGCCUGAUGCAGCAACGCCGCGUGCGUGAUGACGGCCUUCGGGUUGUAAACCGCUUUCGCCUGUGACGAAGCGGGAGUGACGGUAAUGAGUAAAGAAGCACCGGCUAACUACGUG
rnacentral:rRNA from 1 species